AACGUAGCUCAGUGGCAGAGCAGCUGUUUCGUAAACAGCAGGUCGGCGGUUCAAAUCCGCCCGUUG
rnacentral:tRNA from 1 species